rnacentral:rRNA from 1 species
AUGCAACGCACCCUUUUAUUACCCCCGCGGUGAGCUGACCUCUCUCCGUCCGGUGCUUGUGUCUCCAGCCGGCUUCUUCCUCCCCUCCUUGUUUCAUGGCGGGGAAGGGUGGGGCGAUGAUGCCCAUAGCCCGUCCAAUUUGACCCAUGCCGUCCUGGACCUAUAUCAUACGCACACGCGCGCUCUCUACCGCUCCCACCACGCUCUCCCGCAACCUCGUCUCGUCCCGUCUUCUGCUUUUUGCUCGCCUGCGGUGGGAGGGAGCUUUUCGCUUUGGUUUAGGUGCUUCUUUCCCACUCACCACUUUCCUCCGCCCUGCGUGCGGUGUCACGCACACCAAAAGCUCCUGCCUUUGCCUUAUCUCAGCACCGGCACCACCCUGCCCCCGCCCCUAGUGGGAUUUGGUGGGAGCUGCUCUGCUCGCUCCAGCUACUUGCCUCCCUCGCGCGCUUCUUUGCUCCGCUGGUGUUGGUGUUGCCCUUGGCGUUGGGGGCCAGCGUCACUCUCGCCUCGUCACCGCACCUCACCUCGCCGCACCGCACCGCACGCACGCGCGCGCGCGCGGCGCUCUUCCCUUCUCCUCUCUUCCCGGUGGGCUCGGAAUUCGGACGAUUUCUUGGUUGCGUCUGCUUGGGGCGCGGCGAGCGGCGGAUCUUUUGCGGAAUUCCGGCGGGGAAAGGGCGGGGGAUGAACUGCGGGCAGCCGGACCAGCUGCCGCCGGCCACGGCGGGCUUCCUCAACCUCAACUGGGACAGCUCCAUGGACGCCUCCCAUCCGAUGGCCUCCUCGCCGGCCUCCAACUCCGCGGCGGCCACCGAGGGGCUCGCACUCCACGGGAUCUCGCCGCGGCCGCAGCCGCACUACGGCGCCGGCGGCACGCCGCUCGGCUCGCCCACCAAGCUCAACCUCUCCAUGAUGGGCCAGUACCGCCACCACCACCACCACAGCCCCUACCCGCCGCCGCCGCCGCAGGUGGGCGGCGCCGGCCUGCCCACCCUGGAGAACCUCAUGCCCAUGGGCUCCCUCGACCAGUUCCUCGCCGACCCGGGCUUCGCCGAGCGCGCCGCCAGGCUCUCCGGGUUCGGCCCCGCGCAGUUCGGCCUCCCGGACGACGGCCCCGUCGGCGCGCUCAAGGAGCUGGAGCUCGGGAGCGCCCGGGACGACUCGUCGGUGUCCGAUCCGGCGUCGGCCGGCGCCGGGAUGGCGCUCAAGGGCGCCUCCGACAGCAAUGCCAGGAAGCGGAAGGCCGGCGGCGGCGGCAGCAAGGGGAAGGGCAAGGACGCCUCCGUGUCCACCACCUCCGCCAAGGAUCUCCUCGCCAAGGAGGACUCGGCGUCGAAGCGCUGCAGGUCCAUGUCCAUGGAGGAGGCGGAGGAGAAUUCCGGCAAGGGGAAGGCCGCGCAGAGCAGCAGCGAGAACGGCGGGAGGAGGCAGGGCAAGGACGGCGCGUCCAAGCUGCCCGAGCCGCCCAAGGACUUCAUCCACGUCCGGGCGCGGCGCGGCGAGGCCACGGACAGCCAUAGCCUGGCCGAGAGGGUGAGAAGAGAGAAGAUCAGCCAGCGGAUGAAGCUGCUGCAGGACCUGGUGCCCGGCUGCAACAAGGUGGUGGGCAAGGCCGUGAUGCUGGACGAGAUCAUCAACUACGUGCAGUCGCUGCAACGGCAAGUCGAGUUUCUGUCGAUGAAGCUGGCGACGGUGAACCCGCAGCUGGACUUCAACAGCCUGCCCAGCCUCCUUGCCAAAGAUAUGCAGCAGCAGUCGUGUGGGCAGCUGCAGCAGGGCUCGUCGCAUUUUUUCCCGCUGGACGCGUCGGGCGCGCCGCUCCCCUACAUGGGGGGCCAGGGGAGCAGCGACCCUCUCGGCUGCGGCAUGUCCGACGGCGGCGGCAUGGGCGACGACCACGGCGCCAUGCACCCGCUCGACCAGGCCUUCUGCCGCCCCAUGGGCUCCCAGCAGCAGCACUUCCUCAGCGACGCCGCCGCCUCUCAGGUUGGGGCCUUCUGGCAGGAUCUGCAGAGCGUGGUUCAGAUGGACAUGGGGCAGAGCCAGGAGAUCGCCACCUCCUCCAACAGCUACGACGGCUCGUUGCAGACGGUCCACAUGAAAAUGGAGCUUUGACAUGAUGAUCGCCGGGGAGAAAGCUUGAUCCGACUACCACCGACCGCCCUCGACGACCCCCGCUGUACAUAGGGAGAAGCAAAGGCAGGCAGGCAGUCAGUCAAGCUUGCCAUUGAACCAUCCAUGGAAGCGCUCUGAGAUUCAACCUAACAGUGUUGGGCCCUUCUGGUGUAAUGAUUCUUUUGAACAAGAAAGUGACCCGGGCGUGCACCAGUAGCUUAGGCUAGCUCAGCGUAUCAUCAUCAUCAUCAUCAUCAUCUCCUUUCUUGUGCUAAGCUGCUAGCAAGAUCGAUGGGUACAUAGCAUGGCUUGCGCAUGAAUCCAUCCUCGGCCACCCUUCGUGCCCAUUCCCCCUCAAAUGAGAGGGGAUCGCAUUGGAGAUGUGUAAUAGUAUCAUUUGUACUGCCAUUAUAUAUAUAAUAUAUAUAUAUUUCUAG